ensembl:miRNA
CAAUAUGUUCAAAACUGAAAGGAGAUCAAGAGGUAACUUUCAGGUUUUGAACAUAGAGGU